rnacentral:rRNA from 1 species
AUUGAACGCUGGCGGCAGGCCUAACACAUGCAAGUCGAGCGGAGCGGGGGACGGGGGAGUAAUGGCUAGGAAUGUGCCUGGGAGUGGGGGAUGGGGAUCGGAAAUGGGAGCUAAGACUGCAACCUAUCAGAUGAGCCUAGGUGGGAUUAGCUAGUUGGUGGGGUAAAGGCCUACCAAGGCGUCGAUCCGUAACUGGUCCGAGAGGAUGAUCAGUCACACUGGAACUGAGACACGGCCCAGACUCCUACGGGAGGCAGCAGUGGGGAAUAUUGGACAAUGGGCGCAAGCCUGAUCCAGCCAUGCCGCGUGUAUGAAGAAGGUCUUCGGAUUGUAAAGCACUUUAAGUUGGGAGGCGUUACCAACAGAAUAAGCACCGGCUAACUUCGUGCCAGCCGCCGCGGUAAUAC